rnacentral:rRNA from 1 species
ACACGGAAGGUGCAAGCGUUGUUCGGAAUCACUGGGCUUAAAGAGCGUGUAGGCGGAAUGGAAGGUGCCAUAGUGAAAUCCCUCGGCUCAACCGAGGAACUGCUUGGCAAACCAUCAUUCUUGAGACAGGUAGAGGCGACUGGAACGUUCGGUGGAGCGGUGAAAUGCGUAGAGAUCGAACGGAACACCAGUGGCGAAAGCGGGUCGCUGGGCCUGUUCUGACGCUGAGACGCGAAAGCGUGGGUAGCAAACAGGAUUAGAUACCCCGGUAGUCC